AGUACCGUUCGAAUAGGGCGGUACCUUGACGGUACCUAACCAGAAAGCCACGGCUAACUACGUGCCAGCAGCCGCGGUAAUACGUAGGUGGCAAGCGUUGUCCGGAAUUAUUGGGCGUAAAGGGCUCGCAGGCGGUUUCUUAAGUCUGAUGUGAAAGCCCCCGGCUCAACCGGGGAGGGUCAUUGGAAACUGGGGAACUUGAGUGCAGAAGAGGAGAGUGGAAUUCCACGUGUAGCGGUGAAAUGCGUAGAGAUGUGGAGGAACACCAGUGGCGAAGGCGACUCUCUGGUCUGUAACUGACGCUGAGGAGCGAAAGCGUGGGGAGCGAACAGGAUUAGAUACCCUGGUAGUCCACGCCGUAAACGAUGAGUGCUAAGUGUUAGGGGGUUUCCGCCCCUUAGUGCUGCAGCUAACGCAUUAAGCACUCCGCCUGGGGAGUACGGUCGCAAGACUGAAACUCAAAGGAAUUGACGGGGGCCCGCACAAGCGGUGGAGCAUGUGGUUUAAUUCGAAGCAACGCGAAGAACCUUACCAGGUCUUGACAUCCUCUGACAAUCCUAGAGAUAGGACGUCCCCUUCGGGGGCAGAGUGACAGGUGGUGCAUGGUUGUCGUCAGCUCGUGUCGUGAGAUGUUGGGUUAAGUCCCGCAACGAGCGCAACCCUUGAUCUUAGUUGCCAGCAUUCAGUUGGGCACUCUAAGGUGACUGCCGGUGACA
rnacentral:rRNA from 1 species